rnacentral:rRNA from 1 species
UACGGAGGGGACUAGCGUUGUUCGGAAUUACUGGGCGUAAAGCGCACGUAGGCGGAUUUGUAAGUCAGGGGUGAAAUCCCGAGGCUCAACCUCGGAACUGCAUCUGUGACUGCAUAGCUAGAGUACGGUAGAGGGGGAUGGAAUUCCGCGUGUAGCAGUGAAAUGCGUAGAUAUGCGGAGGAACACCGAUGGCGAAGGCAAUCCCCUGGACCUGUACUGACGCUCAUGCACGAAAGGCGUGGGGAGCAAACAGG